rnacentral:lncRNA from 1 species
ACUAAUUAGGAAUUUGGGACACUUCCUAACAAUCUCCACCUUGGACCAAAUUACAUGAAGUUAAUCUUCAAUCUCUCCAUGACACAAACCUUUUUGUAUCAUAUCACCAUGAAAGAGCAAUCGACUCCACCUUCAGUGAAAAUUCCUUUUGUUUUCAUCUUGUGUGCUUUGUGAUCUUUUACUCUUCCAGAAAUCUUCAACCCAAGCUUUGAUACCAAUUGUUGUGCCAGUAAAAGCUUUGAUGCCAACAAUGUUAGUUCAAGAACACAAAGAUAAAACAAUCACACAUACGGUACACGAGGUUUUCACAUGGUUCGGCCAACCAUGCCUACGUCCACGGAUGAGAGAGAAUAAUUCCACUAUACAAUAGAGAAUAUUACAGAGGAUAGAACCAGAUACAACUAUUGGGUUCCCGAAACAUCCCAUCUUUUCCCACUCCUUAUAUCUAUACCUUACUACGAGCCCUCUCGCUCCACCAGGUAUCUCCUAUUCUUCCUCACAUCUCUAUCCACCUCGUAUAGUCUCUAUAGGCCCAUCUCUAUCUCAUGACUUUUUCCCUUCAUGACCUAAAAUAUUUAUAGAGAUAUUUCUAACAACCUUCCUUAUUCUAUAAGGAAGUUUAAUAUUACAAUAAUAUAUCAACCUAGAAAUAUUCUAUAUAAUAUUCUUUACAAAAAAAAGGAAUCUAUACUAAUUAGGAAUUUGAGACACUUCCUAACAAUCUCCACCUUGGACCAAAUUACAUGAAGUUAAUUUUCAAUCUCUCCAUGACACAAACCUUUUUGUAUCAUAUCACCACGAAAGAGCAAUCGACUCCACCUUCAGUGAAAAUUCCUUUUGUUUUCAUCUUGUAUGCUUUGUGAUCUUUUACUCUUCCAGAAAUCUUCAACCCAAGCUCUGAUACCA